rnacentral:rRNA from 1 species
CUGAUGCAGCCAUGCCGCGUGUAUGAAGAAGGCCUUCGGGUUGUAAAGUACUUUCAGCGGGGAGGAAGGGAGUAAAGUUAAUACCUUUGCUCAUUGACGUUACCCGCAGAAGAAGCACCGGCUAACUCCGUGCCAGCAGCCGCGGUAAUACGGAGGGUGCAAGCGUUAAUCGGAAUUACUGGGCGUAAAGCGCACGCAGGCGGUUUGUUAAGUCAGAUGUGAAAUCCCCGGGCUCAACCUGGGAACUGCAUCUGAUACUGGCAAGCUUGAGUCUCGUAGAGGGGGGUAGAAUUCCAGGUGUAGCGGUGAAAUGCGUAGAGAUCUGGAGGAAUACCGGUGGCGAAGGCGGCCCCCUGGACGAAGACUGACGCUCACGUGCGAAAGCGUGUGGGGAG